rnacentral:rRNA from 1 species
AUUGAACGCUGGCGGCAUGCUUUACACAUGCAAGUCGAACGGUAACAGGCCUUCGGGUGCUGACGAGUGGCGAACGGGUGAGUAAUGCAUCGGAACGUACCCAGAGGUGGGGGAUAACGCAGCGAAAGCUGUGCUAAUACCGCAUGUGAUCUGAGGAUGAAAGCGGGGGACCGAGCAGCAAUGUUUGGCCUCGCGCCUUUGGAGCGGCCGAUGUCGGAUUAGCUAGUUGGUGGGGUAAAGGCCUACCAAGGCGACGAUCCGUAGCUGGUCUGAGAGGACGACCAGCCACACUGGGACUGAGACACGGCCCAGACUCCUACGGGAGGCAGCAGUGGGGAAUUUUGGACAAUGGACGCAAGCCUGAUCCAGCAAUGCCGCGUGCGGGAAGAAGGCCUUCGGGUUGUAAAACGCUUUUGGCAGGAACGAAACGGUGUCCGCUAAUACCGGGCGCUAAUGACGGUACCUGCAGAAUAAGCACCGGCUAACUACGUG